rnacentral:rRNA from 1 species
CGCGAGGUAGAGCAAAUCUCAAAAAAACAAUCUCAGUUCAGACUGCAGGCUGCAACUCGCCUGCACGAAGUCGGAAUUGCUAGUAAUCGUAGGUCAGCAUACUACGGUGAAUACGUUCCCGGGCCUUGUACACACCGCCCGUCAAACCAUGAGAGUUGGCAACACCCGAAGUCGGUAGUCUAACCGCAAGGAGGACGCCGCCGAAGGUGGGGUUGAUGAUUAGGGUUAAGUCGUAACAAGGUACC